rnacentral:rRNA from 1 species
UACGAGGGCUCCAAGCGUUAUCCGGAAUCAUUGGGCGUAAAGGGUGUGUAGGCGGUAGUGUUAGUCUUCUGUGAAAUUCUUCGGCUUAACCGGGGGUCCGCAGGGGAAACGGCACAACUAGAGGAUGCGAGAGGUAAAUGGAACUCAUGGAGUAGGGGUGAAAUCCGUUGAUAUCAUGGGGAACACCGAAAGCGAAGGCAAUUUACUGGCGCACUCCUGACGCUGAGACACGAAAGCGUAGGUAGCGAAUGGG